GACAGAGGGUGCAAACGUUGUUCGGAUUUACUGGGCGUAAAGCGCGUGUAGGCGGCUUUGCAAGUCGGAUGUGAAAGCCCACGGCUCAACCGUGGAAGUGCAUCCGAAACUGCAUGGCUUGAGUCUCGGAGAGGAAGGUGGAAUGCUUGGUGUAGAGGUGAAAUUCGUAGAUACCAAGCAGAACACCUGCGGCGAAGGCGGCCUUCUGGACGAUGACUGACGCUGAGACGCGAAAGCGUGGGGAGCAAACAGG
rnacentral:rRNA from 1 species